rnacentral:rRNA from 1 species
AGGUCGUAGCGGCGAGUGAAGCGGCAAGAGCUCAGAUUUGAAAUCUCACCUAGUGUGCGAGUUGUAAAUUGCAGGUUGGAGUCUCGGGUUAGACGUGUGUGCAAGUCCCUUGGAACAGGGUGCCACUGAGGGUGAGAGCCCCGUAUCGUGCAUGUCGACACCUGUGAGGCCCUUCUGACGAGUCGAGUUGUUUGGGAAUGCAGCUCUAAGUGGGUGGUAAAUUCCAUCUAAGGCUAAAUAUUGGCGAGAGACCGAUAGCGAACAAGUACUGUGAAGGAAAGAUGAAAAGCACUUUGAAAAGAGAGUGAAACAGCACGUGAAAUUGUUGAAAGGGAAGGGUAUUGGGCUCGACAUGGGAUUUACGCAUCGUUGCCUCUCGUGGGCGGCGCUCUGGGUUUUUCCUGGGCCAGCAUCGGUUUUCGUUGCAGGAUAAGGACAAUUGGAAUGUGGCUCCUCGGAGUGUUAUAGCCUUUUGUAGAUGCUGCGUAUGGGGACCGAGGGCUGCGGCGGACUCGUUUCGUCUCGGAUGCUGGCACAACGGCGCAAUACCGCCCGUCUUGAACCACGGACCAAA